rnacentral:rRNA from 1 species
GAUGAACGCUGGCGGCGUGCCUAAUACAUGCAAGUCGAGCGAAGCGGGGACGGGUGAGUAACACGUGGAGAACCUCCUAUAAGACUGGGAUAACUUCGGGAAACCGGAGCUAAACCUGAUACUUAUAGAUGGAUCCGCGCUUCAUUAGAUAGUUGGUAAGGUAACGGUUUACCAAGGCAACGAUGCAUAGCCGACCAUAGAGGGUGAUCGGCCACACUGGAACUGAUAAACGGUCCAUGCUCCUACGGAAGUGAGAAGUAGGAGAUCUUACGCAAUGGGCGAAGGCCUGACAGAGCAACGCCGCGUGACUUAUGAAGGUCUUCGGUCUGUAAAACUCUGUUAGUCGAGAAGCGGUACCUAAUCAGAAAGCCACGGCUAACUACGUGCCAGCGGCCGCGGUAAUAC